rnacentral:piRNA from 1 species
UGGGAUUAUAAGACUGGCCAUUAUGCCUGGA